ACAUGCCUACAACAUAGCGUUAAUGCACCAGAUCACAUUAUAACUCUGCAGUUAAACGUGCUCGGGCUAGAGUAGUACUGGGAUGGGUGAUCACCCGAGAAGUCCUAGUAUUUUACAUGCC
rnacentral:rRNA from 1 species